rnacentral:rRNA from 1 species
UAGGGAAUCUUCGGCAAUGGGGGCAACCCUGACCGAGCAACGCCGCGUGAGUGAAGAAGGUUUUCGGAUCGUAAAGCUCUGUUGUAAGUCAAGAACGAGUGUGAGAGUGGAAAGUUCACACUGUGACGGUAGCUUACCAGAAAGGGACGGCUAACUACGUGCCAGCAGCCGCGGUAAUACGUAGGUCCCGAGCGUUGUCCGGAUUUAUUGGGCGUAAAGCGAGCGCAGGCGGUUUGAUAAGUCUGAAGUUAAAGGCUGUGGCUCAACCAUAGUUCGCUUUGGAAACUGUCAAACUUGAGUGCAGAAGGGGAGAGUGGAAUUCCAUGUGUAGCGGUGAAAUGCGUAGAUAUAUGGAGGAACACCGGUGGCGAAAGCGGCUCUCUGGUCUGUAACUGACGCUGAGGCUCGAAAGCGUGGGGAGCGAACAGGAUUAGAUACCCUGGUAGUCCACGCCGUAAACGAUGAGUGCUAGGUGUUGGAGGGUUUCCGCCCUUCAGUGCCGGAGCUAACGCAUUAAGCACUCCGCCUGGGGAGUACGACCGCAAGGUUG